rnacentral:lncRNA from 1 species
GACUGCUGACCCGAAAGUGAUUUUAAAGCGUUAUUUAUGUGGAGAACUAGUCGAAAGGUUUAAACUGGAUUUACAGGACCAGUUUUCUAACAGUCUUCGCAUCAUGGUACAUAAAUAUGAUACUAAAAGAGCAGUUGGGCUACUGAAACAGUACCAGGCGAGUCUGACCAGCCCAGAAGAGCAGGCCCUGAAGACCAGCGUGGAAAAGGUCUCUUCCAUCUUUGGCAGUCAUCUUUUUCAGGCUCUGCUGGGUGAGACAUUCAGGAAUGCUACGAGAUUACUCUGCAAAUGAAUGCAGCACAAAAUGGAGUUAAAGACAGCAGCUCUGUGGACACAUGGGAGACCUCGGGUGAAGAGGGUGUGUCACGUGUGCGUGUGACCAGCAGGAGGAGCACUCAGAAGGUGGAGAGAGUGGCUGGAAUAGUAAGCCGCUAUAAUGUAACACCUUCAGAAUCGUUGCUUUCGAAUGUUGCAUGAGAUAUUUCCUCACAUAGGGAUUUGUUUAUACUUUAAUGUCUAUUUCAUCUCCGUGUCAGUGCUAAACAGUUAACGGUUAAGGAUUGGCUUAUGGUCUAGGAUCAGUGUGAGAGAGUGUUUCAGCAUCCACAUCUCUAUACCUUACAAUGUCUUUUGCGUGAGUGCUGCAUUUUUAGUUAGUAAAAUAAAGUGCAGUGCUGUACACAGCAGCAACAAAUUAAUAUCAAAACAGUUUAAUGAAUGUGCAUCAUUUUUAUGAUAAUGUGUAAAGGCUCAUGCUAGGCUUUUUUCCCUUAUGGGCUGUUCACACAGAACUAGAUUUUGUUAAAUGUUGACACAGGGUUGAAUGGAAUGAAAAUAGGUCUAGUUUUUAGAAUGCUGUAUCAUAUGCAAGAUGCCUUAAAUAACAAACAUGUCCAUCUAGUGCAUGAUUACGUGGGGAAACUAUGGAAAAGAAAUGCAGUGGAAUGCAAAAACAUUCUGUGUGAAUGACCUACCAGUAUAUAGGUUUUUUUGAUAAUGCAUAUGAUAUGAUUUGUGUGAUAUGCUGAACAUUGUUGUGGUGAAUUCUGAUUAAAAUAAUGAUUAUCUUAUCUUGCUGACUAACAAAGUUGAGGUUUUACAUCAGUAAGAAUGGGUUGGAAACCAAUUUUUAGCAGGCACAUAAUUAAAUUGUAUCAUCAUAUUUCCUGUAAUUAUUGACAAAUUAAAAACCCUAUACAUUAUUAUUAAUUAUUAUUAUUAUUAUUAUUAUUAUUAUUAUUAUUAUUAUGUUUUUACUUUUUUUGGAAAGAAAAUGUUUAAGGAAAAAUGUGUUAAUUAAAAUAUAAUGGAAUUCUACAGAACAUUGUUAAAAAAUAAGAAAAAAAAUCUGGGCCAGUUAAAAUAUCAGGAUGGCGAAUAGAAAUUUUGUGUAAAUCCUUAUUGUUGGGCUCUAUGUUAUGGAAUUUUAUACAUUUGAUUAUGAUGUAAUCAUAAAACACAUUUCCACUGGUUAGAUUUUGAUCACAAGCUGAUUUAGAGAGGUUUUCAUGAUACACAUUCAUAUUAGUGAAUACAUAUGGAUGGUUGCAGUUCACAUAUGUAAAAUUGAAGCUAGGCUGCAGUGUAGCUUAAACAGGAAGAAAUAUGCCACGAUGCCACUGUAAUCACCCAGUCUUUCAGUAAUACUCUGAGCACAGGCACAACAGUAAGGUCCUACUAUAUCAUUGCAGCUCUCAUUUUCACGUCCUCCCAAUCACAGCACCCCCAGCGGCAUGUGGCGGCACAGUGCCUGCGGGCGCUGGCGUUUCAGAUGAGCGAGGAUCUAGCAUGAGG